CUCCCACAGACUUCCAGGAGGGUCAUACUUCGGUCAAAGGCACCUUAGAGAAAGAAAGAAAGAAAAGAGAAACCUGCAGUGAGCCGGACUUGUCGUCUGUGAACAAAACUAGAGACAUCUGCAAAUCGGAUCUGUAUUUCCCCACUCCUUUAAAUGAUUAAAAAAAACCUUGAAGAAAUACUUCCAUAUGGAUGAAUCCAACCCUGACAGAGUCCCAAUUCACAGAGAGAGCUCCUCCACAUACAGGAGACUGGAGGAAGUGAUGAUGGUCUGGUGGUGGUGGAGAAGAGAGUUCUAGAGAACUCUUCUGAACAUAUGUUAUUCCCUUGGUAACCUUGGUAUGGCUUGACCAAGCCAAGGAGUGAGGAGAAGAUUAAUUGCCUAAGACAAGGGAGGAGCAACAGGGAGAAGAGGAUGCCAUUUAUAGUCAACAGACAUGUUGGGGAAACACUGCUGAAAAGAUGUAGAUUACUCUGGGCAAAACUCUGGAAGGAGAGAAGAAACCUAAGAAGAAAUUGGAUGUCUUGAUAUGACAAUGUACCUGACAGGAAAUUUUAAAGCUCUUCAUCUCCUAAGUAAAGGGGAAGUCAACAUCGCCUUGCAGAGGACACCGAUCGGACAUGACCCACGUUAUGCAAAAGUGGUGCCUUGACUCAUGAACGUCCCGACAUAUGAC